ACUGCCAGUGAUAAACUGGAGGAAGGUGGGGAUGACGUCAAGUCAUCAUGGCCCUUACGACCAGGGCUACACACGUGCUACAAUGGCGCAUACAAAGAGAAGCGACCUCGCGAGAGCAAGCGGACCUCAUAAAGUGCGUCGUAGUCCGGAUUGGAGUCUGCAACUCGACUCCAUGAAGUCGGAAUCGCUAGUAAUCGUGGAUCAGAAUGCCACGGUGAAUACGUUCCCGGGCCUUGUACACACCGCCCGUCACACCAUGGGAGUGGGUUGCAAAAGAAGUAGGUAGCUUAACCUUCGGGAGGGCGCUUACCACUUUGUGAUUCAUGACUGGGGUGAAGUCGUAACAAGGUAACCGUAGGGGAACCUGCGGUUGGAUCACCUCCUUA
rnacentral:rRNA from 1 species